rnacentral:lncRNA from 1 species
CUAGAUGUGGUGUGGUAAAACGGGGUGUCAAGUGUGAGGGGGCAGGGUUGACAGAUUGGAGGGGGAGAGAAGCUUUGCCUAGAAGCUUGCUCUCCAUAGGACGACCGGGGUAGCGGGAGCCAGUGAAGGCUUUUAAGCAAGCAACCCACUGAGACGUGCAAUGUAGGGUGAGCUCUGUGGUAGCAAAGUGGAAAGUGGAAUAGAUUCAGUUGCAGAUGAACACAGCUUUGUCACAAAAACAUCCUGCUCCACCCUUCACUCCCCCAGUUCCUCCUCCCUCGGGGCAAAUUCUUUGCUCUCUCUAUUCUGGUAUUUGCUUCUUUACUUCCAAAGAUCAUGUUCAAACUAUUUCUUGACCUUUGUCCAUCAAAGAUAGAAAUGGGAUAAUGAUAAAUAAACA